AUUGAACGCUGGCGGCAGGCUUAACACAUGCAAGUCGAGCGGGGUGAUGGUGCUUGCACUAUCACUUAGCGGCGGACGGGUGAGUAAUGCUUAGGAAUCUGCCUAUUAGUGGGGGACAACAUCUCGAAAGGGAUGCUAAUACCGCAUACGUCCUACGGGAGAAAGCAGGGGAUCACUUGUGACCUUGCGCUAAUAGAUGAGCCUAAGUCGGAUUAGCUAGUUGGUGGGGUAAAGGCCUACCAAGGCGACGAUCUGUAGCGGGUCUGAGAGGAUGAUCCGCCACAAUGGGACUGAGACACGGCCCAGACUCCUACGGGAGGCAGCAGUGGGGAAUAUUGGACAAUGGGGGGAACCCUGAUCCAGGCAUGCCGCGUGUGGGAAGAAGGCCUUAUGGUUGUAAAGCACUUUAAGCGAGGAGGAGGUUCUUUUGGUUAAUACCCAAGAUGAGUGGACGUUACUCGCAGAAUAAGCACCGGCUAACUCUGUGCCAGCAGCCGCCGUAA
rnacentral:rRNA from 1 species